GUAGUGAAAGCCUGUGGCUCAACCAUACUCACAUUAUCUGAACUGCAAAGCUUGAGGACGAGAGAGGUUAUUGGAAUUCCUUGUGUAGGAGUGAAAUCCGUAGAUAUAAGGAGGAACACCGAUGGCGUAAGCAGAUAACUGGCUCGUUCCUGACGCUCAGGCACGAAAGCGUGGGGAGCAAACGGGAUUAAAUACCCCGGUAGUCCACGCCGUAAACGAUGGAUGCUAGCUGUAUUCGGUAUCGACCCCGGAUGUAGCGAAGCUAACGCGUUAAGCAUCCCGCCUGUGGAGUACGGUCGCAAGACUAAAACAUAAAGGAAUUGACGGGGACCCGCACAAGCGGUGGAGCGUGUUGUUUAAUUCGAUGGUAAACGAAGAACCUUACCCAGGUUUGACAUCCUGCGAAGGUCUCCGAAAGGAGACUGUGCCUUGUGAGCGCAGAGACAGGUGAUGCAUGGCCGUCAUCAGCUCGUGUCGUGAGAUGUUUGGUUAAGUCCAUCAACGAGCGCAACCCUUAUGGUCUGUUGUAUUUUUCAGGCCAGACUGCCCCUGGUAACAGGGAGGAAGGAGGGGAUGAUGUCAGGUCAGU
rnacentral:rRNA from 1 species